rnacentral:misc_RNA from 1 species
GAUGAAGAACGUAGCGAAAUGCGAUACUUGGUGUGAAUUGCAGAAUCCCGUGAACCAUCGAGUCUUUGAACGCAAGUUGCGCCCGAAGCCGUCAGGCCGAGGGCACGCCUACCUGGGCGUCACACGCCGUUGCCCCCCCGCGCCCCGCACCCAACUCUUUGGGAGCGACCGCGGGGCGGGCUGAUGAUGGCCUCCCGUGCGCUCCGCCGCGCGGUUGGCCCAAAUACCGAGUCCCCGGCGACGUGCGCCACGACGAUCGGUGGUUGAGAGACCUCUGUCGCAAGUCGUGCGCGCCCGUCGCGUCACGCGGGCUCGCAUAGCGCCUCGCGCCGCACCCGGUGCGGAGCUUUCAACGCGACCCCAGGUCAGGCGGGGUUACCCGCUGAAUUUAAGCAUAUCAAUAAGCGGAGGA